UACAGAGGUCUCAAGCGUUGUUCGGAUUCAUUGGGCGUAAAGGGUGCGUAGGUGGCGAGGUAAGUUGGAUGUGAAAUCCUGGGGCUCAACCCUAGAACUGCAUUCAAUACUGCCUUGCUAGAGUACUGGAGAGGAGAUUGGAAUUUACGGUGUAGCAGUUGAAAUGCGUAGAUAUCGUAAGGAAGACCAGUGGCGAAGGCGGAUCUCUGGACAGUUACUGACACUGAGGCACGAAGGCCAGGGGAGCAAACCGGGG
rnacentral:rRNA from 1 species